GCCUGGGGGGCUCAGUCGUUUGAGCGUCUGACUUCGACUCAGGUCAUGAUCUCACAGUCUGUGGGUUCAAGCCCCGCAUCGGGCU
rnacentral:tRNA from 1 species